rnacentral:rRNA from 1 species
UUUACACAUGCAAGUCGUACGAGAGUUUUUAACUCAAGUGGCGGACGGGUGAGUAACACAUAAGAAUUUGCCUUUAGGAGGGGGACAACAACUGGAAACGGUUGCUAAUACCCCAUAUGCUUUCGAGUGAAAUGGAUUUUUCCGCCUAGAGAGAAGCUUGCGGCUGAUUAGCUUGUUGGUGAGGUAAUGGCUUACCAAGGCGACGAUCAGUAUCUGGUUUGAGAGGAUGAUCAGACACACUGGAACUGAGACACGGUCCAGACUCCUACGGGAGGCAGCAGUGGGGAAUUUUCCGCAAUGGGCGAAAGCCUGACGGAGCAAUCUCGCGUGAGGGAUGACGGCCUAUGGGUUGUAAACCUCUUUUUUCAGGGAGGAAUCAAUGACGCGUACCUCAAGAAUAAGCAUCGGCUAACUCCGUGCCAGCAGCCGCGGUAAGACGGAGGAUGCAAGUGUUAUCCGGAAUCACUGGGCGUAAAGCGUCUGUAGGUGGUUUAAUAAGUCAACUGUGUAAUCUUGAAGCUCAACUUCAAAAUCGCAGUCGAAACUAUUAGACUAGAGUAUA